CCGAGAGUAGAAUUAUGAUUAUGUAGCUAACAACUUCUACUAAUGUAUUCAUAGAACAAGUAUACUGUCAUACUGCUAUUGUUGUGUUAGGCUCAGUGAUAGAGAAGGUAUAUGCAAGACCUUGCCUAAUGGAGCUUACCUUCUAUACUUGGGACUGGUAGAGAAAUAUAAAAUGUACACAAUUUAAAGGUGACCAUCAUCAGAAUGAAGUAUACUUUAAAAAACACUGGACAGAUACAAAAUUUAGGCACUUAUCAAAAAAGAAGAAAAUAAGCAUCAAGAAAGCAUACAAAAUGAUGUUCAAUGACAGAGGCUAUUCCGGCAGCCCCAGCUCACUGGGCUCCCUAGAAGAGUGA
rnacentral:lncRNA from 1 species